rnacentral:rRNA from 1 species
CCUACGGGGGGCUGCAGUGGGGAAUAUUGGACAAUGGGGGGAACCCUGAUCCAGCCAUGCCGCGUGUGUGAAGAAGGCCCUCGGGUUGUAAAGCACUUUCAGUGAGGAAGAACGCCUGGUGGUUAAUACCCAUCAGGAAAGACAUCACUCACAGAAGAAGCACCGGCUAACUCCGUGCCAGCAGCCGCGGUAAUACGGAGGGUGCGAGCGUUAAUCGGAAUUACUGGGCGUAAAGCGCGCGUAGGUGGCUUGAUAAGCCGGUUGUCAAAGCCCCGGGCUCAACCUGGGAACGGCAUCCGGAACUGUCAAGCUAGAGUGAAGGAGAGGAAGGUAUAAUUCCCGGUGUAGCGGUGAAAUGCGUAGAGAUCGGGAGGAAUACCAGUGGCGAAGGCGGCCUUCUGGACUGACACUGACACUGAGGUGCGAAAGCGUGGGUAGCAAACAGGAUUAGAUACCCUUGUAGUC